rnacentral:rRNA from 1 species
CCAGCAGCCGCGGUAAUUCCAGCUCCAAUAGCGUAUAUUAAAGUUGUUGCAGUUAAAAAGCUCGUAGUCUGAGUCUUGGUUGGUGUUGAGCGUCCGUGGCUUUUGUCACGUGCAUGCGAUACGCUGGCCAUGUACUUCGGAGGAACAUGGGUGCUUUUCAUUAAGUGCUCAUGGGAUUCCGAUAGUUUACUUUGAGAAAAAUAGAGUGUUCAAAGCAGGCGAUUUUGCCCUUGAAUACGUUAGCAUGGGAUAAUGAAAUAGGACAUUGGUUCUCUAUUUCUGAUGGUUUGAAGGACCGAUGUAAUGAUUAAUAGGGACAGUUGGGGACAUUCAUAUUCCAUGGCUAGAGGUGAAAUUCUUGGAUUCAUGGAAGAUGAACUACUGCGAAAGCAUUUGUCAAAGAUGUUUUCAUUGAUCAAGAACGAAAGU